CAGAUCGGCAAUUCUCAGGCAGAAGAAUACAUAAAAAAGUGAACAUCGAGUAUUUAUAAUUUCACAGCAGAGGACUGACAGCAAAAUUCAACGUUUUCAAUUUCCUUUGCUUAGUGAAAUUAUUUGAAAAAAUACCAGUAACAUCGUCGUCUACGACCAUGGGACCCAAUGUAUCAUACAAAGCUGUGAUUUUGUUUGCAGGAAUAACAUUCAUGCUUUUCUCAAAUACAAAUACGCACUCCUCAACUUCCCAUAAUGAUGAUUCAUCUCCUGAAGAUUCCAUACCCGAGAUAAAAUCCCUCCCAAAUAAAGUAAACCCAGAAUGCGGCCCUUUGACAAAGUCUGUCAGCAUGAAUAAAUUGACAGAUAUUCUAACAUUCGAUAUAUUUUCACAAGCUGAUCCUUCCCAAUACCUCAUCGAGAAAAUAAUGAAAAUGAAUGUAUCAGGAAAUGAAACUAUUCUUGAUAUCAUAGGAGAAGUGUCUUACGCAUUGGGAACCAGACGACUCGCUUUGUGCUAUGUUCCAUUCGCUUACCUAUUGAUAUCACUUUUGAAGUGCCGGAGUUACCUUUUGAGCGUAAAUAAAUACGUAUCAGCGGUACGAAUUCAACACUCAACAAACGUGGAUGGUUUAAAUUCUUUACAACUGGAGAUUUCUUCGUCAGCGGAACUAUCCGAAUUGUUUUCUUCCGAUAUAAUAUUCAAUUCUGAAUCACCUAUGCGUCUGUUCAAUAAAUUAUUGCGCAUGUCGGACGAUGAAAUAGUGAAUUUGAAAAUCCAGUUGCAAAAUUUUUCACGAAAGUGGAUGCCAAUACGUGUGAAAGAUCUGCCAUUUUCUUCCAUGUACAGGAUGUAUGCUCAUACAGUGUUCGAAUUAUUACGUGACAAAACUGCUUUCGGCAGCCUUAAACGUAAUAUGGCAGAAAUUCAACACGUACCGACUUCUAAUGAGAGCAUGGCCAACGUUUAACAGAUUAACUGCUGCUAAUUACGCUACCAAUAAAAGGAACAUGUGAACGGUGGACGUAGACCAAGUUGUAAGUUGGAAUUUAGAUUUUUUUCAUCAAUUAAGUAUGUACCUACCUAUUUUAAAAUAUACAUCGAAUCAACGUU